GCAUUGGUGGUUCAGUGGUAGAAUUUCGCCUAGUGGGAGGCCUUCAGUGGUUCGAUUCCCGGCCAAUGCA
rnacentral:tRNA from 1 species